rnacentral:rRNA from 1 species
AUUGAACGCUGGCGGCAGGCCUAACACAUGCAAGUCGAACGAGUGGCGGACGGGUGAGUAAUGUCUGGGAAACUGCCUGAUGGAGGGGGAUAACUACUGGAAACGGUAGCUACUACCGCAUACCAUCGGAUGUGCCCAGAUGGGCUUAGCUAGUAGGUGGGGUAAAGGCUCACCUAGGCGACGAUGCCUAGCUGGUCUGAGAGGAUGACCAGUCACACUGGAACUGAGACACGGUCCAGACUCCUACGGGAGGCAGCAGUGGGGAAUAUUGGGCAAUGGGCGAAAGCCUGAUCCAGCCAUGCCGCGUGUGUGAAGAAGGUCUUCGGAUUGUAAAGCACUUUAAGUUGGGAGGCGUUACCUACAGAAUAAGCAACGGCUAACUACGUGCCAGCAGCCGCGGUAAUUC